rnacentral:snRNA from 22 species
AUACUUACCUUCAACAGUGGCGCUGACGAUCCCACAGGUCAGUCCUCGUGUAGCGGAGCGGGGCCAUACACGGUUCAUCCAGCCCGUCAUGUGAUGCUACACUACUUGGGGCAACAGCUUCAAGUUUGUUGAUAAUUUUUGACCAGGUGUGACUGCGCUUGCGCAUCAUGCC